GCAAUGAGGAGGUUUAGAAAAAAUAGCCCUUAGGCCUGACAAAACCAAUAAUAGCAAAAACUUAGAAAAGCCAAACAUAAAAAUUUUCUUUCAUAAGCCUCAUCCUCCACAAAACUUUUCUGACUUACUUGGGCUUCUAGAUCCGUCCCCAUGUUUUCUUUUUCCAUUUCAGUAGGGCAAAAAUCUCAUUAUGCACAAUCCUUUUUUUUUUUUUUUGGUACUGGGGAUCGAACUCAGAUCCUUGCGCUUGUGAGGCAGGUGGCAGAACCACUGAGCUAAAUCCCCAGCCCAGCACAAUCCUUUCUUACCAAAAACAUAUCCUCAUGCCCAUAACUUUUUUUUUUUUGGUAUCGGGGAUCGAAUUCAGGACUUUGCACUUGUGAGGCAGGCAUGGUGCCACUGAGCUAAAUCCCCAGCCCACCCAUAACUUUUUAUACAGCUCCUCUGUCCUACUUACUGGUCUUUUCUAUAGCAAGCCCUGUAACAGCAUAGAUUUUAAAAUGAUCCUGGCACAUUUUAUUUGGUCUCAGAGUUAAUUCACAGAUGUUUGCAUUCCAGUUAGGACUGGCUGAAUAACAGAAUUCCAAGUAACCUUGACUAGCAGAAGUAUCUUAGUGCAAGCAGAAAGAACAAGUUAACCCUGCAAUUGCAGUUUAAGAACUAUCCCAAUGCUGUUCUCAAGGAAUGUUUUAGGCAUGCAUGUCAAUUAGGCAAAAUUAGCAACUCAAACUGGAAUCCAAAGGUAAACUGACAUCAGCCAAGAUGUGCCUCAGUGGGCUUUUGUUGACUCCUGGAAGGCUGGUUCCUCUCCCAUGGCCCCCAAGACAGAUAUCAGCCUCAGCCUUGCUACCCACCAGGUCCAGUGCAGCCAAGCAUGGCCCCAAAGCAGUUCCUCCGACCUGACAUCCAGCUGUGUAGCCGACCUGUCCCUCAGGUGUGGACCCCAGCAGGAGCGCAGUCUGGUGGCCCUGACCCUCCACCAUCUCCACUUUCCUGGGACUGUUUACCCCCAGCACUGGAACCUAACCAGGUCUCUGUUCAGGCAGAUGUUGCAUGAAUUUCCUGGAGAGACACAAACUAAGACUCCAAACUGAGAGGGGACCUACAGGCCAAAGAACAACUCAGACAAAGAAUGACUCAGACAAGUGCAGGUUGGCAAAUAACUGAGUUGCGGAGCAGUGGAUGGCUUGUAGGUUGUAGCAUCACUGAAGUCACCAAUCCUUCUGUGCUAGGCUACUGAUUUUAUAGGGCACUAAUUAAAACGGCAAACGCAAGAAGCAUCCUUGGGAAAAGUGUGUACUCUGCUCCCAG
rnacentral:lncRNA from 1 species